rnacentral:rRNA from 1 species
CCUACGGGAGGCUGCAGUGAGGAAUAUUGGUCAAUGGGCGCGAGCCUGAACCAGCCAAGUCGCGUGAGGGAAGACGGUUCUAUGGAUUGUAAACCUCUUUUGUCUGGGAGCAAAAGACGCCACGCGUGGCGUUCCGAGAGUACCCGAAGAAAAAGCACCGGCUAACUCCGGCCCAGCAGCCGCGGUAGUACGGAGGAUGCGAGCGUUAUCGGGAUUAUUGGGGGGUAAAGGGUGGAAGGGCGGAAGGUCAAGUCGGCGUUAAAAGUGUGCGCGUAAACCUCUACGGGCAGAUGAUACUGGUAUUCUAGAGUGAGCGAGAGGUAUGCGGAAUGCGCGGUGUAGCGGUGAAAUGCGUAGAUAUCGCGAGGAACACCGGUGGCGAAGGCAGCAUACCGGACCUCAACUGACGCUGAGGCACGAAAGUGUGGGGAGCGAACAGGAUUAGAUACCCGUGUAGUC